UCCCGUCUCAUUACCACAUCUGGCUCAUUCAUGUUGGUGCUUGGGUACGAUUGGUUUCUCUAUUGUUAUACAUUAAACUGUGUUUAUGAUUCCAGAUUCUCCUUCAUAUGUUAAGUAAAAGGCCUCAAGCGAUUAGAAUCUAAAAGCAUUUUGCGACGACAGAGCAGCUAAUUCUGUGGCUUCUAAUAGCACUGAAGGGGUAGAACAAGAAAGAAAGAAAGGAAGGAAGAAGUGUCUGUUGUCUUGUUCUCAGGCAGCUGCAGUAGCUGACAAAAACAAAGCGUACAACAGAAUUUGCUUAGACUUUCAUAAAGCUUUUGAUAUGGUCAGGCACCGACCCGGAAUGAUGAAGCUAGAAGCUUUAGGCAUUCGAGGUGACCUACAAAACUGGACCUGAAGCUGCUAAACCAGCACGAGACGAAGAGUUCAGAGAAGAGGAGAAGGCACCGUGUGGAGUGGGGUCAUCAGUGACGUCUCUCAGGGGUCUCUAAUUGCCUGAAAACCUUUUAAUUAUUGUGAGCUGCUAUGAAAAAAGCUUCAGAAAAGCCGAAGGAAAAGAUUAUGUCGUUAAAUUGGUCAGGUCAGGACCAUGCAGUGAUACAGGGUGUUGCCGCACCCAUCAUAUGAAGAAAUGGCUCAGGAUCUCGGUUGGUAUCCCCCUGGGCAGACACGUGGUCCAGUCCCACCCUCCGGAAAUGACCCUCUAUUUGCCGCAGCCAGGUGUUAUGUCGGCGACCCCUUAGUUUGGUCCUGCCACUUGGGUCCCCAACAAUGAGGAUCUUACGAGCCGGAUCGCCCUCGGGGAAAUGCGCCACAUGGCCAUAGUGC